UCUGACUGCCAAAUUGACAAUUUUGUCAGUCCUCGGAAUUUUCCUCGUCCAAUUAUUUCUUAAUUGGACAGCAUGGAGUCCUAUUACAUAAACUAAUAAACAAGUUAAUAAUAACUAAUAAUAGAUACAUAUGCCAGUACAAUAUAACCUAAAGUUAAAUUAACUAAGAAAAUUUACAUGAAAUUUAUUACGAUAAAACGUCAAUAAAAAAUAAAUAAAAAGAAUCUAUAAUUUCAAUCUCAUUAUUAUUGUUUAAGCGUAUCAACAACCUUAAUAAUUAUAGAAAUUUAAUAACCUGUUGUUAACUGUUGUCAAUCAUAAUUUAAAACAAUAAUUUAACCAAGGUUUCGGGGUCAACGCCCAUCAUCAGGGUACAAUGUAAAAUCGACUUUAACGGUUAUAACGCCUACAAACUAAUAGUUUCUAAUAGAAAGCGAAGUGCUGCGAAAUGCAAUGUUGUAGCCUUUGGCGAGUAAAAAGUGCCGUUGCUUGAACUCGGAAAACAGAAAUUCGAAUAGAUGGCUGGCUUUGUCAGAGACUGACUUAGUGAAGUAAAGAUUUUUUGUAAAAAAAGGUAUAACUGAUGAGGUAGAUAGCAAAUGCUAAAAACUGUGAAGAUGACCUGAAAACUUUCGUCUUUUAUAGUUMAAAUGUGUCAAUAUAUAUGACUUUGUUUGCUUUCGUAAAACAACAGUCUACCCARAACUGAGGAUCUAGAAAUCAAUGGUAUAACCCAAGGUACAAACUAAAAGAGCGGAAUGUAUCUGACAACUUAGAAGAAGAUGAGAAGKCUGUUUUUAUACUUCACAUGCAUUAAUGUCAAUGACUUUUUUUGGACCACGUGCUCGGUGUGCAUGCAGUAGCUCAUUUACAGGGAUGAAAAAUACCGCUGAUCAUAUUGACUGCAUGCUUUGCAAAUGCUCACAAAAUGACAGACACUAAUCGAUAUUUUUUUGGCAUUUGGCACAAGCYUCACGUAUGCAAAGAUUAGUGUUACAACUCGCCUUUCGGCUCGCAGGAAUAAUAACGAGCUCGCGCAAAAUAGAAACGAACAAAACACUAGCGCAUUGAGCCUAAGAUCUCGAUUAUUUUAAGGUUUUGAUACGUUUAAACAAUAAUUAUGAUACCAACCUACAAAGAAACAUAAUUUCAAUCUCGUCUAAAUACCAUCUAAACCUCGCUCACCAGGAUGAGUACGAGUAGCUUGGUGAUUUGAGCGUCUGACCCGCAAACAGGAGGUCUCAUUGAGCUCGGAUUUUUUUUUCCAAGAAAAUUUUUGCUUGAAAAACGAUAAUUCACAUACAUGUUAAAUAACCUUCAAAGCACAAAAGCACUUCAAUUUCAAUCUCUUUGGAGCAGGGAGCCUUCUGAUUGUUAGUAUUUCUUUUGAAAUUUGUGAGGCUGAUGAUUUAGAAGGAGCAAAUGAGACACAAGCAAGGAGGUAGACAUAUGGGACGGGAUGAGACUGGAUGGGAUGGAUCAGGAUAUCUAUUUGAUGGAUGGUUCGAUAGAAAGCCGGCUAUAAUUGGUUCUAACAUUUUAAAAUACAUGUAGAAUCCUGAUGUACCUUGCGAUGAUGGCAGGUUGCAGAUCAUUCUUGACAACAGUGUCACCGUCAGUGUUUCCCAUCAAGACCUUGCCUCCUUCAUAAUUUUCAAAGUAGGAGCUGUUCAAGCCAUAUUGCAAGCUGUAGCUCUUCGCCCAAUAAAUAUAUCCGCUACCUCCUUGAGUUGCAAUACUUGAAACUAUGGUAACCGUGCUCAAAUCCACUUGAAGCCACGGGCUGCUAUCAUUAACUGUGGAUGUCCAUUGUCUAGGUCCAUGAAGUCGAACAUAAUGUGGUAGAAAAUAGGGAUGACUGUAACUAGAAGCCUUAAUGCUUGAAUCAGGAAUGGCACCACUUUCCAUUCCAAGGGCAUUACCGCCAGUGCAUGUUGCUGGAAAAAUAUUAACAGGUAACAAGCAUGAAGGUCCCGUUACACGAAGUAAUGUUCACUUCAAAAGGGAAAGUCUGAUGCAGCACGCAUUCAUACAAGCCAUUUGUGGUGGGCAAGACAGCGAAGUUGAAAGACAAGCAUUCUAGUACUCGCUCGCAUCGCAUACAACACUGAAGAACACUUCUGACGGAGAUGGUUUGAAGCGAGUUACCUUCCAGCUUAUGAAAGGCAACCUGGGUGAAAUAUGCUCCAUCGAGUUCUWCGCUGCCAAUCAGAGAAGAACGAAUAAAGAAAUACAACACGAUACCGAACAGACAUAUCUGCCCCUAUCGAGCCAUUCUACUGUGGAACAGAAACUAAAUUAUUGAUAACUUGAGCUCAAGACAAAUUGGAAGUUCAAGACAAAGAGCAGCUCUUUCAGUUAGCAAUACGAAGAAAAUGUGAUUUUUUUCAUCAAAGUCAGUUAUUGAUAUCUUAACACGGGAUGUUGCUAACCAAAUGGUAGGAAUUAAACAUCAUUACUCUCAAUAAUACGCAAAAUUAUUGCAACUUAACUUUUAAUGACUUUCUCAGCUCCUGUACCAUAGGCUGACGGAAAACAUUGUAUGCACAAUAUGCGCAUAACAUAUUUCCAAAGGGUCUAACAAGCAGAAAUUGUGUAAUAAUCUUCAGGUAUAAUAUGACUCUUUUAAUAGACAUGUUUCGGCAGUCCUUCUGCCAUCAUGAGUGGAUAAUGAUCACAAAGCUAACUUAGUUAUAUAUAGUUGGUAAAGUGAUUACAAUGUUGUACGAUGCGAAAAAAAACAAACAACAACAAUGGAAUGAAUUCGAA